rnacentral:rRNA from 1 species
GACGAACCGUGCUAACGUUAUUCGGAAUCACUGGGCUUAAAGGGCGCGUAGGCGGGCAGGCAAGUCGAAGGUGAAAUCCCACGGCUCAACCGUGGAAGUGCCCCCGAUACUGCCUGUCUGGAGGGGGAUAGGGGCGUGCGGAACUUCCGGUGGAGCGGUGAAAUUCGUAGAUAUUCGCAAGAACACCAGUGGCGAAGGCGGCUCACUGGCCCGGUACUGACGCUGAGGUGCGAAAGCGUGGGGAGCAAACAGG